rnacentral:rRNA from 1 species
CGGAUUGCAGGCUGCAACCCGCCUGCAUGAAGUUGGAAUCGCUAGUAAUCGCGGAUCAGCAUGCCGCGGUGAAUACGUUCCCGGGCCUUGUACACACCGCCCGUCACACCAUGAGAGUCGGGAACACCCGAAGUCCGUAGCCUGACCGCAAGGGGGCGCGGCCGAAGGUGGGUUCGAUAAUUGGGGUGAAGUCGUAACAAGGUAGC